rnacentral:rRNA from 1 species
UACGUAGGGACCAAGCGUUGUUCGGAUUUACUGGGCGUAAAGGGCGCGUAGGCGGCAUAUUAAGUCAGCUGUGAAAUCUCCGAGCUUAACUCGGAACUGUCAGCUGAUACUGACGUGCUAGAGUGCAGAAGGGGCAAUCGGAAUUCUUGGUGUAGCGGUGAAAUGCGUAGAUAUCAAGAGGAACACCUGAGGUGAAGACGGGUUGCUGGGCUGACACUGACGCUGAUGCGCGAAAGCCAGGGGAGCAAACGGG